rnacentral:rRNA from 1 species
CCUACGGGGGGCUGCAGUCGAGGAUCAUUUGCAAUGGGCGAAAGCCUGACAAUGCGACGCUGCGUGUGGGAUGAAGGCCUUCGGGUUGUAAACCACUGUCAUAAGUGAAAAGGCGGAGAUACCUAAUACGUAUCCGAGUUGAUUGUAAUUUAAGAGGAAGCGACGGCUAACUCUGUGCCAGCAGCCGCGGUAAUACAGAGGUCGCAAGCGUUGUUCGGAUUUACUGGGCGUAAAGGGCGCGUAGGCGGCAGGGCAUGUCAAGUGUGAAAUCUCCGGGCUCAACCCGGAAAGUGCGCUUGAAACUACCUUGCUUGAGUCUGGGAGAGGGAAUCGGAAUAUAGGGUGUAGCGGUGAAAUGCGUUGAUAUCCUAUAGAACACCGGAGGCGAAGGCGGAUUCCUUGAACAGUACUGACGCUGAGGCGCGAAAGUCGGGGGAGCAAACAGGAUUAGAUACCCCUGUAGUC